GGCUGAGUGGCCCUAGUGGGAAGGCAUUUUCUGCAUAUGAAGUCCUCUGUAUUGAGCUGCCAACGGCUUAAAACGAUGGACUUCAGUUGGUGAAAGAUUCGUAGGUUCGAUUCCUAUCUCAGCCG